UAGACCCGUGAUGUCAACUGGUGGCAAAUGAAUUAUAGGCAAUGAAUACUAUGUGUCUUACUUCCAA
ensembl:snoRNA